CGGAGCGUAGCGCAGCCUGGUUAGCGUAUUACCUCGGGAAGGUAAGGGUCGUGGGUUCAAAUCCCACCGUUCCGACCA
rnacentral:tRNA from 1 species